GGCUAGAAAAAAGUUAUUUAAGAAAGAAAAUACAAAUAAAUCCCAUUUAAAUUUACGUCAUUUAAUGAUUAAAAAUUCAAUUCGGAGGAGAUUUGGCAAACAAGUUCGUGAAAGUAACCGCCGUCUGGGUGACGCCAAAAUUCCCAACUGGCGAUGGCGCGCAAAAAUUAAAACAAAAAAUAACAACAAACCAAACCUAAAACACAAUAAAAAAUGACAAAAAAUUCAAAUUUAUUGAAAUCAAAAAGUUAAAGCCAGCGAAGAAGAAGAAGCGUCACACAGCCCCACACACACACUAACACAUAUACAAAAAGUGGGCAAAAACGUUUGUAGAUUGAUCGUUGGGUAAAAAAUAUGUACCAAACUAGUUAGUUACCGGCUAUUGGCCUCUUUCGCCGCGUUCAGGGUCGCCGGCAGCGUUGGGGCAAACCCAGUCCAUCUAGCACGCCGCGCAGCAGCACAAAACAUUUCAAAACAACACAGCGCUAACAACGGUCCGAGAAGUAACGGCGUAUCGGUGUGGCGUAAAAAUUUUAACUUUUGUAAAAAAAAAUUUAAAUGUAAUUAAAAAUUUAUCAAAAAAAUAAAUUUGACGAAUAUUUAUUUUGCUUGCAUGCAAUGAGUGCUGCAAAUUUCUCCAUACGAAUAAAUUUGGGCACUUACCUGGCCGUUGGUGAAAAUGCAGCUAAGUUUUUGCUCCAAAUUAUUUCUCGGGAAUUCCGUGGUUAUAAUGGAAAUCUUAAGACGUUUAAUUUCUGCUAACUGCUCGUUUUUGCACUUAUUCAAAGUGCUAACAACACUAUUCAGCAUUUGUCUAAAAAGGAUAAGAAAUACACAUACUUAUUAUUUUCUCGUCUUUCUCAUCAAUGACCUCCUCUCCUGCAGUUUGAGGUGCCUCUCUAACCUCGUCUUCUUGAAUUACUUCAACAGAGGCGGUAUUCUUCAAGAUUGUUGUCAGCAUCUCUUUUUUGGAACGAGACUCC